UGUCAUUCUCUUGUGCUUUAAACAAUUUACUGAGAAUAUAUUCUUCUCCUGUUUCUGUCUGUAGUUGCUGUCCAGACAUCUGAGGUGGAUUCAUGGCCCAGUGCAGUUGUCUACAGAAAUCCUGGCGAUCAUCAACAUGAAUGUAAUCGUAUAUGUUUUGGUGCAUUACAUCAGUCUGAUGAAACCCUAGGUAGUCCACAAUUGUUGAUGAUGCAUAAAAUAUCAUUCCAUCUGCACUCACC
rnacentral:lncRNA from 1 species